rnacentral:lncRNA from 1 species
CCGAUGGGGAUGGGAGGGAGAACUGGAAAGCUCCUUCUGGGCACCAUCUAACCAGCCACUUUUGUUCUGAUAUUUGCUUUUAUCAGUUAUCACAAAUCCUGGAGUUGUUCCACUACUCAAAUAAAAAGAAAUUGCCCAGAAACGUCAUCUGCUCAUGUUGUAUACUGCUCUGAAUGCUACCUGCAAAUUUCUCACUCCCCAGUUCCAUACCUUUCUGUUUUAAAACUCAAAAUCCUUCCAAUUUCAUAACUCCUGGGCUUCAAGCCUCUCCCUCACUCACUUCUAUCAUUAUGAGCUGAAAAGAUUAUAUACCGAGGUGUACCCUCUGUGUCUGCACAAUAUGUAUUCCAGUCUCCAGCACCUUGGCAACAGAACCUUCCCAAAUGACAGGAUGGGACAUUCCAUUCAAGAGUUGAUUAAAUUCUACCUGCAGUAUGAACUAAUUUGUUAGAGGGGGAAGUGCAGUCAAAAGGCUUAGGGCAGAGAUGGGAGAAGAUCCUGAAAAACAGAUCUGCAUGGGUAAAAAGCCAAGAAUUGCAUUGCUAUUAGUAGAGCAGCAGCAAGCAGCAGAAUGUGUUUCAGCAGGAACACGAGAGGUCCCUACGGCUGUGUGACAAAACAGUCAAGCAUUGCACCGAAGGAAUUAAGCACCAAAUCUGGUAGAUGGAAGUACCGCCCUUGUGUCAAACCGAGGUAGGCAGUGAAGCAAAUGCUGUUACUUUGGAGGCAAUUUUU